rnacentral:rRNA from 1 species
UAGGGAAUCUUCGGCAAUGGGGGGAACCCUGACCGAGCAACGCCGCGUGAGUGAAGAAGGUUUUCGGAUCGUAAAGCUCUGUUGUUAAGGAAGAACGAGUGUGAGAAUGGAAAGUUCAUACUGUGACGGUACUUAACCAGAAAGGGACGGCUAACUACGUGCCAGCAGCCGCGGUAAUACGUAGGUCCCGAGCGUUGUCCGGAUUUAUUGGGCGUAAAGCGAGCGCAGGCGGUUAGAAAAGUCUGAAGUGAAAGGCAGUGGCUCAACCAUUGUAGGCUUUGGAAACUGUUUAGCUUGAGUGCAGAAGGGGAGAGUGGAAUUCCAUGUGUAGCGGUGAAAUGCGUAGAUAUAUGGAGGAACACCGGUGGCGAAAGCGGCUCUCUGGUCUGUAACUGACGCUGAGGCUCGAAAACGUGGGUAGCAAACAGG